rnacentral:lncRNA from 1 species
UGGGAAGGGAGCUAAUGCGAUACGGCCGCCGGCGCUGUUGCCGGAGUCCAGGGGCUACAGGGCAGCGCCAGUCCGCCUAAGGGGAGACGGUCAGCAGGGAAAUUACAGUGCGUUUUCCCGCCUCAAAGCCAGAAAAAAAGCAGGGAGGGAAGCUACCAGUGGCGAGGAGAUAGGGUAUCCGAAAAGAGUAGGGACCACUGGUUGGGGAUGGGUAGGAGGGCUUAAGAGCAGGACUAAACUGCAGACGACCAUUAAUGACGUCCCGGGAAGUGGUGUGGUUCUUGUCGCUGCUUCCGGGUUUCUCUAUUAAGUCCUGGCUAUCAUUUUCCUCUAAGCCAAGUCCUUUGCACAUGGAGCAACUUGAUUCUUGAACUGGAAGCUGUUGGGCACCUUGCUACUACCAUGGCUGAGCUAAAAGACAAUCAGUUGGUCCAACUGCCACCUUGCUUAUCCUCAGGCCAGCAGCUAGCAGUUUUGAAGCCAAUAAGGGAAACUUGAGAAGUCUUGCAGCUUCCACAGGGGAUUAUCCCCAGCUGAACCAGCUCCGUCAGUAUUACAGCUUACAGGGAUGGGCAGUAUCCCCAACUCAACUGAAGAGCUCAGCAGCCUGAGUCCAACUCCUUCUCUUUGCUGCUUCUGGACCAAGGAUCACAAAUCAGCUGCCUCUGCUCCCAGAAAAGGAGCCAACAGCCAGGAGCUAAGCAGUUACAGUCAUUAUAUAGGGUUUCUUAGGGGGCAGGGCUUUCUAGGGCAGA